UUAAGUUCAGCGGGUAGUCCUACCUGAUUUGAGGCCAAGCAUUCAUUAAGUUUGUCCCAUAAACAGGACUAUUAUAAGCUGAACAGACAGAGAGCACGUCCGUCAUUGUAUUGGCGCAGAUAAUUAUCACACCAGUGACAGACCCGCAAACGGUUCCGCUAAUGCAUUUCAGGGGAGCCGACCUUGAGAGGCCAGCAAGA
rnacentral:misc_RNA from 1 species